GACGAACGCUGGCGGCGUGCCUAAUACAUGCAAGUAGAACGCACAGUUUAUACCGUAGCUUGCUACACCAUAAACUGUGAGUUGCGAACGGGUGAGUAACGCGUAGGUAACCUGCCUGGUAGCGGGGGAUAACUAUUGGAAACGAUAGCUAAUACCGCAUAAUAUUGAUUAUUGCAUGAUAAUUGAUUGAAAGAUGCUAUUGCAUCACUACCAGAUGGACCUGCGUUGUAUUAGCUAGUAGGUGAGGUAACGGCUCACCUAGGCGACGAUACAUAGCCGACCUGGGAGGGUGAUCGGCCACACUGGGACUGAGACACGGCCCAGACUCCUAAGGGAGGCAGCAGUAGGGAAUCUUCGGCAAUGGACGAAAGUCUGACCGAGCAACGCCGCGUGAGUGAAGAAGGGUUUCGGAUCGUAAAGCUCUGUUGUAAGAGAAGAACGGGUGCGAGAGUGGAAAGUUCACACUGUGACGGUAUCUUACCAGAAAGGGACGGCUAACUACGUG
rnacentral:rRNA from 1 species